rnacentral:lncRNA from 1 species
AAAAAAAAUGAAACACAGAAUUAAAAUUUAAGGUUAAUUGAGUAUAGUUUCAUAUAAAUAUAUUGAAUAGCAGAUAUAUUUCUAUAAAGUACAACUUUUUAUAUUUCUCUUUAUAAAAACCUUAACGUUUUUAAACAUCUUCAUGCUGUUACGAUCCGUAUAUAGUUAAUCAUAGAUAAAAUACUUAAUCUUGAUUUGUGAAUGAGAUAAAUUGAUCUUUUUACCCUUUUUUAAUUAUUUGUGAUGGCAGAAAAGAAAAAAAUGACCAUGAGAAAUUUUUGGGAGGAUAUUAUUGUAUAAUUCUAAUAGUUUAGACUUUUAAAAGGACAUAUUUGUUAUAGUAAAAAAUGUCAUUUCACUUAUCUUUUAUCAAAAUAUAAAUAGUACGUGCUUUAACGGUAAUAAAACAGAGGAACGAAUAUGGAUAUUACUAGGCUUUUGUAAAAAUAAAUAUUAAAAUCUAAACUUUGUAGGAAUAUAUUUACUAUUUAAUAUAUUUAUAAAAAACUGUAUGAAAUUAACUCUAAAAUUUAUGCUAUUGAAUGGAAAUUUAAACUUAAAUAUUCUACGAUAACUAGUUUGCCAGUCCAAUUAGUUAACCUUUGAAACGAAGAAAUUACCUAACGUGUCCAAAUAUAUAUAGUAAUUACAUGUACAGAACUUUGGAAUUUUCUUUUGAGGAAAGAUAUACAUAUAUCCUUAUCUAAGACGAACAAAUUAAAUUACAAUUUCCACAUAUAGAACUUUUCUCCUUGGGGAAAAAAAAUUACCAGAAUUGUCACACUUGAAAACCAACCAAACCCAGUUUAUUCUUUUAUUUUCUAAUUAAUUUAAUUAUUUGUCCUAUGUAACUGUACGUAACAUUGGCUUUAUAAGUCAUUAAAUUAAACCAUCAAAAAGGCUUAGUUCUACGGAAAUGCUUAAUCGUCACGCAAACAAGCAUGCGGAAGAAGUCAGGGGUUGGAAAUUUCUGCCAGGUGCAUGAGAGGAAGAACGUACUUCUAAGUAGGGGCUUUUUAAAAAAACUUAAAAUUUUAUAAAAUUGUAAUAUUUUCAUUUUUCAAAAUUUUUUUACAAAAAAUAUAAAAAAAUAUUUUUCAAAAAAACUAGUUUCCUUAAAAGUAAACAAGCAGAAAAUUUAAAAAAAGAAUGAUUUUCCAUACUGGGUAGAUGCCAUUUAAUUGGGCUGCAGGUAAAUACGAUAUAAGCAUUUUGUUUGAUACUGUGGAGAUUAUUUGGACAAAUUUUAUUGCUGAGGAGAAGACCUAUGCAAUUCUACACGCUAUAAGCACUGUCACUUUUCUUUUCUGUUGUUAAACUACCAUUAACAGUGAUUCAAAAAAAGAAGAAGAAGUUAUUAGUGUGAUUACUUCGGUGCAAUGAGUUGGACAAUUGCUGGCCUGGUGGCUGAUUGCAAUGUUAUUCUGCAUCAGCACAAUAACAUUCAACUCCUCUAUUUGUAUUACUAGAGCUUUUAACCUUGGAGUGUAUUAUCCAAGAAAAGAUUCCCUACAACAAACAAUCCAUCCAAAAAAGAUAUCUUAUGGUGAUGGUUGACGAAGGGGAUAUGGAAUAUGGGCCCUUCGUGAAGAUGUCGGUGAAGUUCGGGAGAGGGCAACAUGUGGAGAUCGUAACAGAAAAAGGGCGACGAACACACCUUUACUUGUAGCUUAUUGGUAGAUUACAUGAACAGAAAGGAAUAAAUAAUUUUCGGAAGAAUCAAUACUGAGUUGUUGGCAGUGAUCUAUAGGGCCAGAUUGCUGGCGAAGCAAUUGGAGGAUUUUUGUGUGGAUAACCAUCACUUAUCUUUGAUUGAUUGUUGUAUUCUGGCAGAUUUUUUUUGUUGGGGCACUACAACAAAAACGGUGUAUAGCGACACUUUUAAAUAUAGGUAUAUGUCAAAAAAGUGCUGCUAGCUAAAAUUACCGACACUUUUAAAAAAUGUUGCUAUAUGUGGGGUCGCUAGGUAUAUAGUGACAGUUAAAGAGUGUCGCUAUAACCUAAAAGAGUGUUGCUAAUUUACCAACACUUAUUUAAGCAUUUAGCAACCGCCGAAACUCUAUCUCGUUGGCUGCGGUGGCGGAGGAGGACGACGGGAAAGGCUCUUCGUCUAGAAUUUUAGUGGAUUGAGUGAAGAGAGAAGAAAAGAUGGUAAUUGAUUUUUCUUUUUUUUUUUCUUUUCUGUUUGUAAUCGGGUCAAAUGGACUGGAUGUGAUUGGUUGAGUAGAGUAAUCUUUUAUUUUUAGUUGGAUUGGGCUUUAUAUUUAGGCAUAAGUAGAUGUUUUUUUAAGUUUUAGCAUAAAUGGGACACUUACUCAAAAGUGUCCCAAACAUGUGUCCCUAUAACCUAAUUCUGUUGUAGUGGGGGUUUCCAUCUAUUUUUUCUUUUUCUUUUUUUUUUGAAAUCAGUUGCCUCAUUUCUGCAGCUCACUUCAUAGUUGCUAUGAAUGAAGUAGAUAGCAAGCCUACCUUUCUCUCUCUCAAAAAAAAACUUUCAAGUUCAUCAUCUUGCAAAUUCAAGCUCUCAAAUUUUAUUCCUAAAAUCAACUCCUAUAAUUAUGUCAAAGGAAAAACUAUAUUAAAAAUUUACCCAAUUUCAAUUAUAAGUGGGAUAGGAAGAACGCCAACAACUAGAAAAAUAUUCUUCUUAAGGUAAAAAUGCAUAGAAUUAAUCUCAACUAUCACACAUUUUAAUCUGACAAUCUAAUAUUUAAUAAUUUUAAUUUUGCUAUAUAAUUUUUUAAUUUAUUUGAUUUGAGCUGUUUAUAAUUUUUUUAACUUCAACAUUUGAAUAUGUCGUUUAUCAUUAUAAGCUUAAUUGGUAUAUAUUAUACAAUUCAUGUAGUUAUAAUUUGGCCAAUUUGCAUAAAAAAUUCACUUAUUUUGGGCUUUUGCAAAAUUGGGCCACCUUUUUCGUUUUUGCAGAUUCGGUCCGUUUUUUCAGCAAACUGACCAAAAUACCCUUAUUACUUUUUCUUUUUCCUCUUUCUCUCUCCUCUUCGUUUCUCUCGUUCUUUUUUUUUUUCUCGCUAAAAAAAGUAACGAAGGCAGAGGAGGAGGCGGAAACGGUCCGCCUCGCCUCUCACCCUCAUGCUCUCGCCUUCGCCCUUGCCCUCCCCCACGCACCCCCAACCUUCCUCGCCUCCGACCCCGUUAAAGCCGCGCCGCGACUUUUUUUUUUUUUUUUUUUUCUUUUCUUUUCUUUUUCCGACUCUUUUCCACCGUCUCCGACGACGACGCCUCUCGCCCUUCCCCGCCCUUCUCAUCUCUCCCUCUCCCUCAUUCUCUGUCGCCUCCGACGACGAUGCAUUUUCGCCGGCGUCGACGCCGACACCGUGGAGGUCACUGCGGCGCUGCAGCUUCGGCGCGAGGGGUCCUUAGCGGCGUCGUCGCCGGCGCUGUGGCUGUUGGCAGAGAGGGUGACAAAAAAAAAAUUAUAGAAAAAACAUAAAAAAAUAAAGAUAAAAAAUUAUAUAAAAAGAAUGAUGAAGAUUAAAUUGCAUCGUUAACUGCAAAAAAAAUUAUAAGUUGCACUACUUAAGAUGUAAACUGCAGCUUUAAGAUGAAAAUUACACUCUUUAAACGAAAAUUACACUCUUUGAGAGAUAUUUAUACUGUUUCUCUUCUUAUUGCACUCUUUCAGAUUAAACUGCAUCCAUUAAGAUGAAAGUUACACUCUUUAAACGAAAGUUGCUCUGUUUCUUCUGUUGUUGCACCAUUUCUCCUCUUGUUACACUAUUUUUUAUCUUAAACUGCACCCCUUUAAGAGAUAGUUAUACUGUUUCUCCUCUUGUUGCACUGUUUCUCCUCUUGUUGCACCAUUUCUCAUCCUGUUACACUAUUUUUUAUCUUAAACUGCACCCCUUAAAAGAUAUUUAUACUGUUUCUCCUCUUGUUACACUAUUUUUUCUCUUAUUGCACUAUUUCUCCUCUAACAAUAGGAGAAAUAGUACAACAAGAGGAGAAAUGAUGCAAUAAGAGAAGAAACAGUGCAACUUUCAUUUAAGAGUGUAACUUUCAUCUUAAUGGAUGCAGUUUAUAUCUGAAAGAGUACAAUAAGAGAAAAAACAGUGUAAAUAUCUCCCAAAAAAUGUAAUUUUCGUUUAAAGAGUGUAAUUUUCAUCUUAAAGCUGCAGUUUAUAUUUUAAGUAAUACAACUUAUAAUUUUUUUUUGCAGUUAACGAUGAAAUUUCAUCUUUAUCCUUCUUUUUUCAUAAAUUUUUAACUUUAUUUUUUUUUCUUUCUUCUUUUAUUAUUUUUUUGGUCACCCCUCUCUGCCAACGGUCACAACGCCGGCGACGACAUCACUAAGGACCCCUGCUCUGAGGCUGCAGCAUCGCAAUGACCUCCACGGUGUCCGCGUCGGCGCCGGCGAAGAUGCAUCGUUGUCGGAGGCGACAGAGGAGGAGGGAGAGGGAGAGAACGAGAAGGGCAGAGAAGGGCAAGAGAGGCGUCGUCGUCGGAGACAGUGUAGAAGAGUCGGAGAGAUUAAAAAAAAAAGAGUCGCGGUACGGUCUCGGCGGGAUCGGAGGCGAGGAAGAUGGGGGUGUGCAGGUGAGAGUAAGAAUACGCCGGACAAAAUCGAAGCAGGCCGCCUCCGCUCUGUUUCUGCAACUCUCUGGGAAGAGAAAGAAAAAAAAAGAACGAGAGAAAAAAGAGGAGAGAGAAAAAAGUAUAAAGGCGCUUCUGCUCCGUCUCCGCCGCUCUCUGGGAAGAGAAAGAAAAAAGAACGAGAGAAACGAAGAGUAGAGAGAAAGAGGAAAGAGAAAAAAGUAUAAGGAUAUUUUGGUCAGUUUGCUGAAAAAGCGGACCGAAUCUGCAAAAACGAAAAAGCUGGCCCGAUUUUGCAAAAGUCCAAAAUAAGUGAAUUUUUUAUGCAAAUUGGCCUUAUAAUUUUAUUAAAACAAAUAAUUUAGCUUAAAUUGUAUUGAGCGAGUGAUCCGACGAUUUAAAUCAAACAAAUAUAAAAUACUAAAAUUAUUUAGGGUAAUGGCACAUUGGAACGUUUGGUCCUCAAACUAAAAGACUAACGACACUUUCGUUCUCACGCUUUACUUUUGUUGUAAUUUUUUAUUCAAACUUUUAGAAUUGUUGCAAUCAAAUCUGAUAAAUCAUAUAGGUUAUAUAGUAGUAAGGUAAUUAAUAGUGCACAAAUAAUUAAAAUAUCACAUCAUUUUACAUCAACGAUGCGUCAAAUAAAUUGAAUUGUGGGAUAUGAUUAUAAUAAUUUUGAAAGUUAGAGAUAAAAAUUAUAAUAAAUUAAAAUUUAAAGACUAUAUUAUCACCAGACUCAUAAUUUGAGAACCAAACGUGUAAUUUAUUAUUCUUAAAAUUUUGAACGAUCGGACAGUCAAAUCAAGAUGAAGUCAUAUAUUUUUAAUUUUUAAUUUUUUGAUUUGUGAAGAAAGUGGAUGGUUAAGAUAUUAAGCAUAAGACUAAUUAUGGAUGUACAAACCUACGGCCCUAAUUCAAAAAAUUCGACCGUUACACUCUCCCCGUCCCCAAAGAGCAAAAGUAUCUCCUUUCCUAAACCUCACAUGUUUUUAGGAGAUCAGUGGCACCAAAGGAAAACACUAACAAGACCACCUCGCCAAGAACAUCCUCCUCCUCCCACCUCUCCUGCGCCAUGAUCAAGCAGAGCAUCCUAAGCCCGGGGUUCCGGUCGGCAGCCGCCAUGGCCGGGUGGGACGAGGGAGUGUUGAAGCAUAAAAAAAAAGAGAGAGGAAUAAAAGAGGAAAAAAGAAAAAAAAAGGAGAGAGAAAGAAAUAAAAAAUAGAGAUGGUUUAUGAGAUUAUCCAUGCAUCAGGUGCAUGGAUAAAAUUUAAAUUUUGAAAAUAUCUUAUGCACCGGGAGUAUAAAUUACGAAAAGUGGGACGUUCUCGUAGAUACGAACGGGUAUUAAAAAAUAGCAUAUUAGCCCUUUCCCUUUCACGUAUUUACAAAAUGCUCCGCUUUAAUCAUAUAAUAUUUUAUUGUAUUGACUAAGGUGUAAUAUGAGCAAAGGGAAAGGACUAAUCCGCAAUAUUCCCACAAUCCCAUCGUAACCACCCAAUAUCUCCACGAUUCCAUCAUAACCAUCCAUUAUUUCACAAUCCCAUCGUGACCAUACAAAAUCUCUUCCACAAUCCUGGAUUCUCAUCGCACGUUUCCCUCAAAUCGGUUACAACCACCCUACAUCUCACGAACCUCAUACCCACGACCCCCGAAGCCAUCCGUACCUGCACCCAUAACGCACGUUUCCUCAACCACCUCAAACAAUCGUAGCACGUCCCCCUCAAAUCACCAUAAAUACCUCUCAAAAAAAUGGGAAGGGAGAGCUUUUUGAAUUUCAAAAAAAAAAUCUAGUCAAAAAAAAAGAAAAAGAUCCACUCGAUCCAUUGAAAAAAAAAAAGAAAAGGUAAAAAAAAAAAAACAUCUCUUUCCCGAUCAAAAAAAAAAAAAUAAGCUCUCUCUUCUAUCUCCUCUCUACCUUCUCUUUGCGCAACAGCAACCGAAAGCCCUAGAGCUCUCACUCCCUCUCCAAUGGCGGCCGUUGCGUGCCCCCUCAUCUCCGCACUCCGAUCCACUCCGACGUGGUGCGCUUCGUCCACGACUAGCUAUCCCAGAACCGGCACCCACCACGCCGGGCAGGGCGCCUUCAGCGACAUAUGCCGCAGCGGGCGUAUGUUUUCACCCAUCAAGAUCCGGCGCCGUCGGCACCGCCUCAUCGCUCCUCGCCGACCACGACCCGAAGCGUCGCUCCUCGCCAAUCGCCGCACCGAGGCGCACUCCGAGGCCGCCCGCGUCGCUCCUCGUCGACCACAACCCAAGGCGUCACCUUCGAGGCCGCCCGCAUUACUCCAAAACCGCCCCGCGCGCUGGCUCACCUUCGACUCCGAGGCCGUCCGCUUCGUCCCGAAGUUAUCCGCGACGGCGGUGACUCCAACACCACCCAGAGCUGCUGUCGCAAUCGCUCCCAAGCCGCGCACUCCAAAGCCGCCAACGUUGAAGCCGCCCGCUCCGAGGCUGUCCGCCCCGAGGCUACCCAAGUUCCCGUCGGACUUGGCGAUGUAUCGCUGCUUCCCCCUUCUCUGUCUGCUCCGAGAUCGCGACGUCGCCUUCUCCGAUCACAAGGAGAUCCUGAAGCAAAAUUACUGCGUCGUUCCCUCCACUUGUCACCUGUUCGACCAAAUGCCUCAUCGAGCCUCACCGCCGUCGAGCGCAGGCCGAGCCUCACCACCAUCGAGCGAAGGCCGAGCCGCACUGCUGCCAAGCCCGAGGAGGUCCGCUCUGUGUUGAGUGUAAGCCGAGCCGCAUUCAUGUCAAGCCUGAGGAGGCCCACUCCUCGGCCGAGUCUCAUUAUCGUCGAGCUCGGCCUCCCUUGUCUACUCCGAAUCGCGCCACCGCCGGGCCGCACCGUCGUCGAGCGUAGGCCGAGCCCGGGGAGGUCCGCUCAGCAGUCUAGCUGCGCCGCCGUCGAUCUUGUUCCAACGCCCCGAGACAUGCUCCGAAGCCGAGCCGCACCGAUCGUCAACCCCCCGAACACCGUCGCCAUCCACCUGUGCAAGAUGGUGCUAUUUGAGCAUCUACGGUGAACUUGGCGGGACGGCGAUAUCUAUCCGGAGUUGACGCCCGACGACCUCGUCACAACCGUAAAGACUGUGUGGCUCAAGCCACGCCCAUCAACCAUUCGGCGAAAUACUUCAACGGCGAGUCCAAUUUGCAUAAAGAGAGAGAGAGCGGUGCUCUUCUCUUUAAAAAAAAAAUGUGUUAUUAAAAGAGAAAGAGCGGUGCUCUCCUCUUCAUAAAAAUGCAGUAUUAUCAAGAGAGAGAGCGGUGCUCUCUUCUAAAAAGAGAGAGAGAUGUUACUUCUCCAAUGAUAAAAAAAAAGAGAGAAAGAGCGAUGCUUUUCUCUUUGCAAAAAAAAUAUAUUAUCAAAAGAGAAAGAGAUGAGAGAGCAUUGCCAUUGUUAGGGAGGCAAGGAAGGGAUUUUUUAUCCCGCCUUAGUUGUCCCACGACUGUAAAAGAGAUAAAAAUUUUAUUCAUCUCUGAUUAAAAAAAAAAAAGAAAAAAAAGUGUAUUCUCUUAAUUCUCCUUCAAUGAAGAAAUGAAAGAAAAUUGGUCGGAUUUCCGAUUAAUAUUCUUUUGAUUGUUCUUUUAAUAGUGUUCGAAAAUAAUCGAACCCUUUGAUUGAAUCUUUCGAUUUGGUCGAAUUAGAUCGAAUCGAGAUUUAAUUACAUUGGAUAUUGCAUGUGACGAAUAAUAAAACGCAUCAUAUCUUUGAUGAAUUUGAUUUUGAACCAUAUAUUGAUGUAUUUUUUAUCUGAAACAAGUUCUAAAUCUCAUACGAAAUAAGCCCGUUCUCACCUCAAAACCCAAGCUCAACAUAAUCCUAUAUUAGGCCCAAGCCCAAAUCCAAAGCCUAAAUCCAAACCCAAAAUAAACCCAAAUCCAAAUCCUAUAUUAAGCCCCAGUCCAAAUCCAAAAUGAGCCCAUAUUGAGCCCGAAUCCAUAUCCAAAAUGAUUUGGCCCAUAUUGAGCCUGAAUCCACAUCAAAAUGAAUUCAGCCCAAGUCUGAACCCAAUAACCAAUCUACACAACUAAACCAAAUCCAACCUAAACCCAACCCAAUUAAUUCCAAUCCAAUCAAGCUCAUAUCAAACCUCUUCUCUAGCAUAUAUAACUAGAGCCAAAUUUUGAUACAGUCAAACUCGAUCAAAUUCUAAAAAUGUUUGAUUAGAAUUGAUCAAACCAUAUACCAGGUUUCACCUAAUCAAAUCAAUUGAACUCUAAUAUAUCUACUUAGAGUUCAGAUAAAUGAAAUUAAAUUAAACUCUAAUACAUACACUUAGAGUUUAAUCUUGACUAAUCCUAACUUAUAGAAUUAGGAUUCAGUUGAUAUUUUACCUUAUGGUAAACCCAAAUUCAUCUAUUGAUUAAACUCUAAUACAUAUACUUAGAGUUUAAUUCCGGCUAAUCCUAACACAUAUAAUUAGGAUUUGGUCCGCAUCUCGCCACAUGGUGGACAUAAAUUCGCCUUAUAGUGAACCCAAAUGAAAUUAAAUUGGACUCUAAUAUAGUUUAAUUUAAGCUAUAUUUUGACUAAUCCUAACAUAUAUAAUUAGUUCAUGGUGAAUCCAAAUUCACCUCAUGUGAAACCAAAUUAGACUCUAAUACAUACACUUAGAGUUUAAUUUAAAUCAAAUUUUGAUUAAUCCUAAUAUAUAUAAUUAGGAUUUAGUUAAUAUUUGACCUUAUGGUGAACUUAAUUAAGCUUGAACAUAUAAGCAUAGAGCUUAAUUAUACUAGACUUUAAGAUAUAAAAUUAAAGUCUAAUCCAAAAUAUUUGAGCUAAUCCUAACAUAUACAUCUAGGAUGAAAGCUUAAAUCAAAUCCCAUUGGACUUUAUCACAUAUAUUCAAAGUUCAAUUAACUAAAUCAAACUCUAAUUCAUUUAAUUAGAGUUUAAUUCGAAUCAAAUCUGAUUAAAUUCCAAUAUAUAUAUAGGGAAUUUAACCAACCUUUCACCUUAGGGUGAACAAUAUUAUUGAGCCCAUAAACAUAUGAAGCCCAAUCAAAUCAAUCCGACCAUAUACUCUGAUAUCUUGGUUCAGAAUCAAAUUCAAUCAAUCGCCAUACCGAAUUAUGUUAUAAAAUUCAUCUUUUAUUCAAUUAUAGCAUUACAAAGGUCUCUUAAUCGAAGGUGCCCUAACAUUUUAUAGGGGUAAUUAACAAUAGACGCUUGCGUUUAUUGGAAGCCAUGAAUCCACAAUACCUGAUUCCCAUACAUAUUCAAAUACUAAUCUGAAUCAUGAAUAAUAUCCCACGGUGGAAAAUCAAAAUAAGAUCAACCGUGCGAGGUGCGUCAUUCGUGGUGGCAGACAGGGAGCUCUCUUGCUCGCGAGCCUCGUCGUCGAGGACACCCCGGUGCGAGAGUUCUGGCACAAGAGACGCUCCAAUCCCCACCUCAAAUCCCCUCCGAGCACCAGUUCCAACCGGUCCUCGUCGAAUUCCAAAUACCCAUUUGGUCCCAUCCAUCCUCCUCGGUGCUCCUUGGAUCUCUAAUGGGCUCUUUCGGUUCUCGCAGGAAAUGAAGAUCCCGAAGGCGGUCCACGAAUUUGGUCCCCCCCCCCCGUGGUUCUCUCUCUUGAUGGUGACGAGCUGAGUGAUAAGAAAGGUUCGAUCUUGUUCUUGUCUAAAUGUAAAAAUGUUGAAUUGAUUCUCGUUGGGUUCUCCAAAUUUGGUUUUUGGGUUUCGAUUGAUUCAGACUCGGGCGAUGCGAGAAAAGAAAUGGGGACUAUUGUUGCUGAGGAGAAGAAGAAGAAGCCGCCAUUAGCAGAGGGGGCUUCACCGGAGAAGCUCUCGAGCAACGCGCUCCCGUGUAUGGAUCGGCUGAGAGAGGAGCUUUCUUGCGCCGUAAUAAGCCAUUUUUUAGUUUCUCCUUGUCUCGAUUUUGGAUUGUUUUAUUGACCUUGUCCUAGUUUAAUUUAGUGUUUGCUAGAUUUGUUUGGAGAUUUGCUUCGAACCAAGCACUACUCCCUGUGGGCACAGGUAAAAAACCAAUUUUUAUUGAAUUUAGUCCUCCGAAUCCAUAGCAAAUUUUGUAUAUGAGUACCAGAUGUAAAAUAUGUUAGAAAAUUACGUACGGUAAAAACGCAGUGAAAAAAAAAUCAAACAAAUUUGAUUUUGAAAACUCUCGAGAUCCAAUCUCAAAAACCACGCAAUUAGGAUCCCUCAUGUUCUUUAAGAUUAAAGGAAAAAAAAAUGAUCGAAUCUUUACCUUUUUCGCGGAUAAAUCUUCACCUCAAUUUAAUAAUCGUGGAAUCGGGUUCUUUGAAGCCGCACACGUGUCCAGCCUCUAUAGGUAUCCACACGAGGUUCUUAAUUUGAUCAAUUUCCUCAUCGGGGUGCUAGCUCCCUUACAAAGGACGUCUUUUUUGCUAGAAGAUGGGAGAGAGAGGAGAAGAGAGAUGACAGUUAGGGUUUUCUAAAAACUCCCGUAUUAUUAUAUAGAGUAAUAUAAUCAUCUUUUUAAUAAUAUAAUAACUAUUAAAGAUAAAUACAAAUCUAGAUUUAAAUUUAUCCUUUCCUUAAUUGGUUAGAUCGAUCAAAUUCUAAUUUGAUUCGACUUGAACUUUAUAUUAAUUUGAUCAUAUCAAAUUAAUAAUGCAACAUUUGCAUAUAAGUCCUCUUAUAAUUUACUAACUAUUAGUAAGUCAUCUCUUGUAACAUUUACUCUUUAAUAUCACUAAUUUGUAACAAUUACAAAUUAGUCAAAUUAUCAACAUAUUGGCAAUUAGGUUCUCCAGCGAUUCAAUGCGAUCUAGCUAUCCGAUCAAUCACAACCUCUUAUGUGUGUGACCCCAUAGGUUCUAUUCUAUCUGGUAAUGAGAUAUAUUUUGAUUACUAUCAACAAUAUCAUUGAAACUCCUUUCAGUGAAUCGGAACAAUUCCAACUCAGCCCAAUAAGAAUUAUUGAUCAUCUAGAUAAUCCUCAUGAGUCUCACAAUCCACCAGUGACGCCUAGCAGCAUGUAGUGGGAUUCCAGUAGAAUGGAAUACUGAACCUCUUGGUACAGUUACCGUGUGAUACAGUCCUUCUAUUAUGAGUCCCGACUAGACGGAGGUUAUGGAAUAACUCGUCAAACCCCAUCGUCUGUCAUAUGUUAAAUUUAUUCGACUCGAAUUUCUAAUAUCGGAAACCCUUUUCCGCUAUUUAUUCUGCCCUGGCCAAGGUCUUCUAAACUCGGUCUCAUAAAUCACAUAAGACUAACACCCCCUAUCUACCAAGGGAGAUAGAUUUCAUCUAAGUGCGCACCCUAUUCCUACAAUGAACCUACUACAGCAAACAUGCACCGCAAGGAUCUGAAUGGCUAGGGACCAAGUGUAUGUAUAGUAAAACUACAGUAACCUCAUUGUAGAUAGCCGAGGCACCGCAGGUCAAAGGACCAGUCGCACUACUGCAACAUUGAGUAAGUCACUGACGAGUGAGUAGACAUCCAAAUGACUUCUCGUGUUGGUCACGCUCGGUACCCUUGUUCUCCAACAACCAUCUGCAUAUUCGCUUCAGUGUUCCCACACUGUCGACUCGAGACCCGUAUACCAAAAAGGAAAGCGACUUAUGCACCAAUCUCACCGGAUCAAUCACCGUCUCCGUGAUAAUCCAUUGAUCGGGAGCAUUUAGGAAUUAACCACCAAUGACACAUGUCUCAAAUCCUCAACUCUUGAGAAUAUAUGUCAUCAUCUUAUUAAUUUCUUGGACGACUCAUGGACACAUACACAACAUGAAUGGAAAUAAGAAACCAAAUUAAUUCAUAAUAUUUUAAAGUCAAUACAAAUUUAUGUCCUACAAAGAAUACAUAUGUUGGCCUGGUUGGCUUCUAGGGCAUACAU